rnacentral:rRNA from 1 species
GACGAACGCUGGCGGCGUGCCUAACACAUGCAAGUCGAACGGAAAGGCACUGCUUUUGUGGUCUGCUCGAGUGGCGAACGGGUGAGUAACACGUAAGUAACCUGCCCUUGACUUUGGGAUAACUUCAGGAAACUGGAGCUAAUACCGGAUAGCAGCUCCUGCUGCAUGGUGAGGGUUGGAAAGUUUCGGCUGUUGGGGUUGGACUGGCGGCUGAUCAGUUUGUUGGUGGGGUAGUGGCCUACCAAGGCGAGGACGGGUAGCCGGCCUGAGAGGGGGACCGGCCACCUGGGAGCGGGACCACGGUCAAGACUCCUACGGGAGGCAGCAGUGGGGAACAUUGGACAAUGGGGGCAAUCCUGACCCAGCCAGCCCGAGUGGGUGAAGAAGGCCUCGGGGUUGUAAAGACCGUUUUUUGGGAAAGAAAAGCAUCAGGUUAAUACGCCGCUGUUGUGACGGUACCCAAAGAAGAAGCACCGGCUAACUACGUG